rnacentral:tRNA from 1 species
GGAGGAUUAGCUCAGCUGGGAGAGCAUCUGCCUUACAAGCAGAGGGUCGGCGGUUCGAUCCCGUCAUCCCCCACCA